rnacentral:rRNA from 1 species
CUUAGUACGAGAGGACCGGGAUGGACAUACCUCUGGUGUACCAGUUGUCGUGCCAACGGCAUAGCUGGGUAGCUAUGUGUGGACGGGAUAAGUGCUGAAAGCAUCUAAGCAUGAAGCCCCCCUCAAGAUGAGAUUUCCCAACUUCGGUUAUAAGAUCCCUCAAAGAUGAUGAGGUUAAUAGGUUCGAGGUGGAAGCAUGGUGACAUGUGGAGCUGACGAAUACUAAUCGAUCGAAGACUUAAUCAAAA